CGCAGCGCGUGAGUUUCGCUCUGUUUUAUAUGUGCUUCCCAGUCCUGUGGUUCUGCUAUACCGGGGACGCUGAGUCCCCACAGACCUGGAAAAUUGCGGCCCCUCUUUCUCAACCCAGAGCAAAUUGAGACGUCCGGGCUGGAGUGCAGUGGUGCCAUCUCAGCUCACUGCAACUUCUGACUCCCGAGUUCAAGUGAUUCUUUUGCCUCAGCCUCCCAAGUAGCUGGGACAACAGGGGCAUGCCAAGAAGCCCAGCUAACUUUUGUACUUGUAGUAGAGAGGGGGUUUCACCAUGUUGGCCAAAAUUGUCUCAAUCUCUUGAUCUCAUGAUCCACCUGCCUCACCCUCCCAGAGUGCUGGGAUUACAGGCAUGAG
rnacentral:sRNA from 1 species